UACGGGGGGGGCAAGCGUUGUUCGGAAUUACUGGGCGUAAAGGGCUCGUAGGCGGCCAAGUAAGUCGGAUGUGAAAUCCCCAGGCUUAACCUGGGAACUGCAUCCGAUACUGGAUGGCUUGACUCCGGGAGAGGGAUGCGGAAUUCCAGGUGUAGCGGUGAAAUGCGUAGAUAUCUGGAGGAACACCGGUGGCGAAGGCGGCAUCCUGGACCGGCAUUGACGCUGAGGCGCGAAAGCCAGGGGAGCAAACGGG
rnacentral:rRNA from 1 species